GGGGAAUAUUGGACAAUGGGCGAAAGCCUGAUCCAGCCAUGCCGCGUGUGUGAAGAAGGUCUUCGGAUUGUAAAGCACUUUAAGUUGGGAGGAAGGGCUGCAAGUUAAUACCUUGUAGUUUUGACGUUACCAACAGAAUAAGCACCGGCUAACUUCGUGCCAGCAGCCGCGGUAAUACGAAGGGUGCAAGCGUUAAUCGGAAUUACUGGGCGUAAAGCGCGCGUAGGUGGUUUGGUAAGAUGGAUGUGAAAUCCCCGGGCUCAACCUGGGAACUGCAUCCAUAACUGCCUGACUAGAGUACGGUAGAGGGUGGUGGAAUUUCCUGUGUAGCGGUGAAAUGCGUAGAGAUGCGGAGGAACACCGAUGGCGAAGGCAGCCUCCUGGGAUGACACUGACGCUCAUGCACGAAAGCGUGGGGAGCAAACA
rnacentral:rRNA from 1 species